rnacentral:lncRNA from 1 species
AGGAGGGGCGCGCGCGGCGGCCAGCCUGCAGACGCCGGGAGCCGCGCAGCAGAGAAGAGCGCUGGCCGCGAGCCUGGGCGAGCCGAUCUGAUUUGUAUCCAGUGUGAUCAGCACUCCCUCACUUAAGACUUUCCAGACCCAGGACUCCAGAGGAACCAGACACCUCACAAGAAGGCGACUGUAACUUCCGAUUCCUUGGUGGAGGAAAACAACACACUCCGGUCUUGCUUCCAAUGAUGCAA